rnacentral:rRNA from 1 species
GACGAACGCUGGCGGCGUGCUUAACACAUGCAAGUCGAGCGAGGCCCCUCCUUCGGGAGGGUGUCCUAGCGGCGAACGGGUGAGUAACACGUGGGCAACCUGCCCUCAGCUCUGGGAUAACUCCGGGAAACCGGGGCUAAUACCGGAUACGACCUCCACGGGCAUCUGCGGAGGUGGAAAGUUUUUCGGCUGAGGAUGGGCCCGCGGCCUAUCAGCUAGUUGGUGGGGUAGUGGCCCACCAAGGCGACGACGGGUAGCCGGCCUGAGAGGGCGACCGGCCACACUGGGACUGAGACACGGCCCAGACUCCUACGGGAGGCAGCAGUGGGGAAUAUUGCGCAAUGGGCGAAAGCCUGACGCAGCGACGCCGCGUGAGGGACGAAGGCCUUCGGGUUGUAAACCGCUUUCGGCAGGGACGAAGCGAAAGUGACGGUACCUGCAGAAGAAGCACCGGCCAACUACGUG